CCUACGGGGCGCAGCAGUGGGGAAUAUUGCGCAAUGGGGGAAACCCUGACGCAGCAACGCCGCGUGCAGGAAGAAGGUCUUCGGAUUGUAAACUGUUGUCGCAGGGGAAGAAGACAGUGACGGUACCCUGUGAGAAAGUCACGGCUAACUACGUGCCGGCAGCCGCGGUAAUACGUAGGUGACAAGCGUUGUCCGGAUUUACUGGGUGUAAAGGGAGCGUAGGCGGCGAUGCAAGUCAGAAGUGAAAGCCCGGGGCUCAACUCCGGGACUGCUUUUGAAACUGUAUGGCUAGAUUGCAGGAGAGG
rnacentral:rRNA from 1 species